rnacentral:rRNA from 1 species
AGCGAACGCUGGCGGCAGGCCUAACACAUGCAAUUCGAACGGAUCCUUCGGGAUUAGUGGCGGACGGGUGAGUAACCCAUGGGAACGUGCCCUUUGGUUCGGAACAACUAAGGGAAACUUGGGCUAAUACCGGAUGUGCCCUUCGGGGGAAAGAUUUAUCGCCAUUGGAGCGGCCCGCGUCUGAUUAGCUAGUUGGUGAGGUAACGGCCCACCAAGGCGACGAUCAGUAGCUGGUCUGAGAGGAUGAUCAGCCACACUGGGACUGAGACACGGCCCAGACUCCUACGGGAGGCAGCAGUGGGGAAUCUUGCGCAAUGGGCGAAAGCCUGACGCAGCCAUGCCGCGUGAAUGAUGAAGGUCUUAGGAUUGUAAAAUUCUUUCAGCGGGGACGAUAAUGACGGUACCCGCAGAAGAAGCUCCGGCUAACUUCGUG